UACAGAGGGGGCAAGCGUUGUUCGGAAUUACUGGGCGUAAAGGGCGCGUAGGCGGCCGCCUAAGUCAGACGUGAAAUCCCUCGGCUCAACCGGGGAACUGCGUCUGAUACUGGGUAGCUUGAAUCCGGGAGAGGGAUGCGGAAUUCCAGGUGUAGCGGUGAAAUGCGUAGAUAUCUGGAGGAACACCGGUGGCGAAGGCGGCAUCCUGGACCGGCAUUGACGCUGAGGAGCGAAAGCGUGGGGAGCAAACGGG
rnacentral:rRNA from 1 species